UACGAAGGGGGCUAGCGUUGUUCGGAAUCACUGGGCGUAAAGCGCACGCAGGCGGAUCGAUAAGGCGGGGGUGAAAGCCCCAGGCUCAACCUCGGAAUUGCCUUCGAUACUGUCGGUCUCGAGUCCGGGAGAGGUGAGUGGAAUUCCUAGUGUAGAGGUGAACUUCGUAGAUAUUAGGAAGAACACCAGUGGCGAAGGCGGCUCACUGGCCCGGUACUGACGCUCAGGUGCGAAAGCGUGGGGAGCAAACAGG
rnacentral:rRNA from 1 species